ensembl:lncRNA
GAAAACAAGAGGUGUUUGCAAGGUUAAGAGACUCAGUGUCUAAACGUGCCAUAAAGGUUUGCAGUAAUUUACAGCUGUAGGCAGCAGGCACUCCUGGUGGGGGGAAGGGAAAUGCAAUUUAAGAGAACAGAAAUAAAUAAGAAGCCGCAGCAGCUAACACUCUCUGAUUUAAUCCCCAGCCCAUGAGAAAGAUUUAUUCUGUUAUCUGACAGUUUGAUCACUCCAGGAAUCCCAUAGGUCAGCCCAUAUCUGCUGUUGUUAUCUCUGGGCUGUUUCCAGUGAGAUGCGCAGGGAAGAUUUGUUAAAGAAAUGAGCCGAAGAGGGGUGCUGAUAAGAGAGUUACAGAUGGGACCCCCAGAGACCUUUGGCAUGGAGGUUCCUCGACAAGAGAGAGCAAUUUGCUCUCUGCUAUGGGGCUGAGGCAUCACCGGGAGAGUGUUGGUGGCUUGCAUGGCUUGUGCUGGGGGAGCAAGUGAGUAGGAGCACACACAGUGCACACACGUGCAAAGAGCAUCCAGGAAAGGGGAAUGAGGUUGUGAGUGGAAGAUGAGCCCACAAUAGUGUGGAGGAACCAUAGCAGACUGGCACUGGGCAUACGAAGCAACCAGAAAUCCUCUUGUAAGGCUGUUAGAACAAGGAAGAGCUGCCCAAGGACUUAGUGGGAGAGGAAGGUUCACGAGCAGGCUGAAGGAUGGAUGAAGCGCCAGUCACUGUCGUUAGUCUUCAUCGGUGCUCAGGUGGUGCUCAGGUGUUCCACAGCUGAGAGCGGUGAAGGUGGGCAGGACCUUGGGGCCGGGAAGGGGUCAAGUACGGACCCUGGGGAGCUGCAAAGCUUUUGGUUUGGUGGAACUUGCUGGUGGAACCUCGCCCCAGGGUGCUUGAACGGCUGCCCGGAAGUGAAAAGCCUUGAGAAGAUUGGAUCAUGCAUUAUUUUUACCCUUGCAAAUGGUUCCCAGACGCACGGAGCUCAAGCUGUGAAAAAUACAGAGUGCAAGACCUCGGCGUGCACCGGCUCUUGAAAUGCUGACCGGGAGGCUCAGACUGGACCAUCCAUCUUACGGAUAACGCCUCUGUGGGGUUCCAGCUCAGGCUGCAUUGCCUCACGGGGCAUUGGCACAAGCACAGCCCCGUUUUUGCUAAACCUCAUCCCCUCUGCGCCGCUCCAGUGGGAAGAGGUACACACCUUGGUUCCUCUGAGAUGAAUUUCAGCUUUCUGCGGAAACCUGGCUUCCUGUCAGCUUGGCUUCAUCUGCUUAUUAUAUGUAACACAUAACCUCUUUAAUAUUACACAUGGCAUGUUUAACUGCUUAAUUUACUUUGGGAAAUAUUGCCAAAUGCAGCUAUUCUGUUGACAUAUCAUUUGCAUGAUAAACUAGUGUAUUUUAAGCCACGAAUAGGAUGCAUCUGUGAGCUAUCUGUCCACACUUCUACAAGCUACCAGCGUUAUCUUCACACCUAUAGUUGGAGAAUGUAGCCCCACGUCGUGCCUGGGGAGGGAUUGAUCCUUUCUGCUAGGAGAGCAGAGACUGGUGGCUUGUCUACAGCAGGGAAUCAGAUGGCAUAGUUAUUCUGAAAUAACUUCCUGUGUAGAUGUUCUCUUUGGACUGAAAAAGACUUUUUUUUCUUUAAUUCACUCAGAGCUAUUUUUUUUUUCAUCUACUAAACUAUUCUUGUUUGGAUACAAUCGGAAAUGACGCUUUUUCUCUAGACAAAAGAGCUAUUCUGAUGUGUCCCCUGCUGUGAGACCAAGACACCAAAGAGGCUCACUGCGAGGAUCCUGGAGCUGGUGGCUCUCCCUGGGCAGACUGGUGGGUGGGAGCAGCCCAAACCAGCCUCUCCUCGAUCCCACAUCCACCCCUUGACCCCUCUCCAGACGCCUUUUGCUGGCAUCCCGCAUCUGCCUGCCUGUGAAAAAUAUAUUUUUGCACCUUUCUGACGUAGCAGAGGUUGGGCUGGUGCCUGCCAGCCACUAACAAGCACGUUCUGCUCCCUCGGUGCCCUGCUCUAUGGGGCAGCGUC